rnacentral:lncRNA from 1 species
CAACCAUACCUCCUCUUGUGUCACAACCCUUCAUCUGUGUUUCUUCCUGUGAAGUCACCGAGCAGCACGAAAGAGAAAACACGAUCAUCACCUGGAAAAUCUAUCAGUCCAAGAGAGAGCAGAGACAGACAGCUGAAGCUAAAAGAGAAAAGAACUGUCCUUUGCUUCAAUGAAAGUGAUAACAUCCAGCCAAGAAACUUAUCAGAUAACCUCCUCUCGUGUCACAACCCUUCAUCUGUGUUUCUUCCUGUGAAGUCCCCAAGCAGCACGAAAGAGAAAACACGACCAUCACCUGGAAAAUCUAUCACUCCUAGAGAUAGCAGAGACAGACAGCUGAAGCUAAAAGAGAAACGAACUGUCCUUUACUUUGAUGAAAGUGAUAACAUCCAGCCAAGAAACUUAUCAGAUAAUUAUAACACGUUCCGAGCUAAAC